UACGUAGGGGGCAAGCGUUGUCCGGAUUUAUUGGGCGUAAAGAGCUCGUAGGUGGUUCGGUAAGUCGGAUGUGAAAUCUCCAGGCUCAACCUGGAGGGGUCAUUCGAUACUGCCGUGACUAGAGGUCGGUAGGGGAGUGUGGAAUUCCUGGUGGAGCGGUGAAAUGCGCAGAUAUCAGGAGGAACACCCGUAGCGAAGGCGGCAUCCUGGACCGGUAUUGACGCUGAGGCGCGAAAGCUAGGGGAGCAAACGGG
rnacentral:rRNA from 1 species